rnacentral:ncRNA from 1 species
CCUUUGGAGUAUUAAACAAAUCAGAGUACCUAUUAGGGAAAUGAAAUACAAUGAGAAAGGAA